UAGGGAAUCUUCCGCAAUGGACGCAAGUCUGACGGAGCAACGCCGCGUGAGUGAAGAAGGAUUUCGGUUCGUAAAACUCUGUUGUUAGAGAAGAACAGCGCAUAGAGUAACUGUUAUGCGUGUGACGGUAUCUAACCAGAAAGCCACGGCUAACUACGUGCCAGCAGCCGCGGUAAUACGUAGGUGGCAAGCGUUGUCCGGAUUUAUUGGGCGUAAAGCGAGCGCAGGCGGUUAGAUAAGUCUGAAGUUAAAGGCAGUGGCUCAACCAUUGUAGGCUUUGGAAACUGUUUAACUUGGGUGCAGAAGGGGAGAGUGGAAUUCCAUGUGUAGCGGUGAAAUGCGUAGAUAUAUGGAGGAACCCCGGUGGCGAAAGCGGCUCUCUGGUCUGUAACUGACGCUGAGGCUCGAAAGCGUGGGGAGCAAACAGG
rnacentral:rRNA from 1 species